rnacentral:rRNA from 1 species
UUGAACGCUGGCGGCAUGCCUUACACAUGCAAGUCGAACGGUAGAGGGGCAACCCUUGAGAGUGGCGAACGGGUGAGUAAUGCAUCGGAACGUGCCCAGUCGUGGGGGAUAACGCAGCGAAAGCUGUGCUAAUACCGCAUGUGAUCUGUGGAUGAAAGCAGGGGACCGCAAGGCCUUGUGCGAUUGGAGCGGCCGAUGUCAGAUUAGCUAGUUGGUAGGGUAAAAGCCUACCA